rnacentral:rRNA from 1 species
GUCUCUUCGGAGAUACACGAGUGGCGCACGGGUGCGUAACGCGUAUGCAACCUACCUUUAACUGGGAAAUAGCCCCGAGAAAUCGGGAUUAAUGUCCCAUAUUAUUCUUUGAAUACCUAUUCGAGGAAUGAAAGCUCCGGCGGUUAUUGAUGGGCAUGCGUGACAUUAGCUAGUUGGUGAGGUAACGGCUCACCAAGGCUACGAUGUCUAGGGGUCCUGAGAGGGUUAACCCCCACACUGGUACUGAGACACGGACCAGACUCCUACGGGAGGCAGCAGUAAGGAAUAUUGGGCAAUGGGCGCAAGCCUGACCCAGCAACGCCGCGUGGAGGAAGACGGCCUUCGGGUUGUAAACUCCUUUUACGGGGGAAGAGGAAGGACGGUACCCCGAGAAUAAGUCACGGCUAACUACGUGCCAGCAGCCGCGGUAAUACGUAGGUGACAAGCGUUAUCCGGAAUUACUGGGCGUAAAGCGCACGCAGGCGGCGUGGUAAGUCUGAUGUGAAAUCUCCCGGCUUAACUGGGAGGGGUCAUUGGAAACUGCCGUGCUCGAGGCGGUGAGAGGGGUAUAGAAUUCCCGGUGUAGUGGUGGAAUGCGUAGAUAUCGGGAGGAAUACCAGUGGCGAAAGCGGCACCCUGGCACUAGCCUGACGCUCAUGUGCGAAGGCGUGGGGAGCGAACGGGAUUAGAUACCCCGGUAGUCCACGCGGUAAACGAUGAAUACUAGGUGUGGGUGGAGUGAAAUCCAUCUGUGCCGAAGCAAACGC